AUCCAACUGAUGAGUCCCAAGUAGGACGAAAUGCUCAUCCUGAAU
rnacentral:hammerhead_ribozyme from 1 species